rnacentral:misc_RNA from 1 species
GAGAUAUGAGAAGGCUGCUAAAUUUAUUGAAUAUGAUACUGACUUUAGUGAAGAGGAAAAGAAACAAGCUAAAGCUUUGAAGAUCAGCUGCAACUUAAAUGAUGCAGCUUGCAAGUUGAAACUGAAAGAUUACAAGCAGGCGGAGAAGCUGUGUACCAAGGUGUUGGAAACUGAGAGUACUAAUGUUAAAGCUCUUUACCGGAGAGCUCAAGCAUAUAUGAACAUG